rnacentral:rRNA from 1 species
AUGCAAGUCGAGCGCGAAAGGGGCUUCGGCCCCGAGUAAAGUGGCGUAAGGGCGAGGAAUACGUUUCUACGUACCCCGAGGUCGAGGAUAGCCCAGGGAAACCUGGAGUAAUACUCGAUGUGGUGCUUCGGCAUCAAAGAUUUAUCGCCUUGGGAGCGGGGAACGCCCUAUCAGGUUGUUGGUGAGGUAACGGCUCACCAAGCCAGAGACGGGUAGCGGGUGUGAGAGCAUGACCCGCCGCAUCGGGACUGAGACACUGCCCGGACUCCUACGGGAGGCUGCAGCAACGAAUCUUCCGCAAUGCGCGAAAGCGUGACGGAGCAAUGCCGCGUGCAGGACGAAGCCUCUCGGGGUGUAAACUGCUGUCAGGGUUCAGCAACACAAUGAGCAGACCCAAAGGAAGGGCCGGCUAACUUCGUGCCAGCAGCCGCGGUAAUACGAAGGGCCCGAGCGUUAAUCGGAAUCACUGGGCUUAAAGCGUACGUAGGCUGAAUGUUCGCAAGCUUCGGGUGAAAUCCCUCGGCUCAACCGAGGAAUUGCUUGGCGAAACUGCACGUCUUGAGGCAAGUAAAGGCGGUCGGAACGUUAGGUUGGAGUGGUGAAAUUGCGUUGAUAAUCUAGCGGAACGCCCAAAGUGAAAGACCAGUCCCGCUGGGCUUGUUCUGGAACGCUCAUGUACAAAAGCGUUGGGAAGCGAAACGGAAUUUAGAUACCCCGGUUAGUUCCACCCGUUAAAACGAUGUGCACUAGAUCGUUGGAGUUUCUGACACCAUUCACGGUCGAAGCAAAAAGUUGUUUAAGUGCAACCCGCCUGGGGAGUACGGUCGCAAGGCUAAAACUCAAAGGAAUUGACGGGGGCUCACACAAGCGGUGGAGCAUGUGGCUUAAUUCGAAGCAACGCGAAGAACCUUAUCCUGGGUUUGACAUGUAUGGAUUAACCCUGUGAAAGCAGAGCCACACUCGCUUAGGUGGAACAUACACAGGUGCUGCAUGGCUGUCGUCAGCUCGUGCUGUGAAGUGUCGGGUUAAGUCCCUUAACGAGCGAAACCCCUGUCGUUAGUUGCUAACAGGUAAUGCUGAGGACUCUAGCGAGACUGCCGGUGUUAAACCGGACGAAGGUGGGGAUGACGUCAAGUCCGCAUGGCCUUUAUGCCCAGGGCUGCACACGUGCUACAAUGGCCGGUACAGAACGAAGCAAGACUGUAAAGUGGAGCAAAUCGCUAAAGCCGGCCCCAGUUCGGAUUGAGGGCUGCAACCCGCCCUCAUGAAGUUGGAAUCGCUAGUAAUCGCGGAUCAGCUACGCCGCGGUGAAUACGUUCCUGAGCCUUGUACACACCGCCCGUCAAGUCAUGGAAGCUGGCAGCGCCCGAAGCCGCCCCGAUUCAGGGGUGUCCACGGCGAGGCUGGUGACUGGGACUAAGUCGUAACAAGGUAGCCGUAGGGGAACCUGUGGCUGGAUCACCUCCU